rnacentral:rRNA from 2 species
CGUAGGCUGUUAUAUAAGUCAGUGGUGAAAUAUUCGGGCUCAACCGGGAUACUGCCAUUGAUACUGUAUAGCUGGAAUAUGGUUGCUGUGGGUGGAAUGUGUGGUGUAGCGGUGAAAUGCAUAGAUAUCACACAGAAUAUCGAUUGCGAAGGCAACUCACAAAGCCAUUAUUGACGCUGAUGCACGAAAGUGUGGGGAUCAAACAGGAUUAGAUACCCUGGUAGUCCACACUGUAAACGAUGAUAACUAGCUGUCGGCGAUAGAUAGUCGGUGGCUAAGCGAAAGCGAUAAGUUAUCCACCUGGGGAGUACGACCGCAAGGUUGAAACUCAAAGGAAUUGACGGGGGCCCGCACAAGCGGAGGAACAUGUGGUUUAAUUCGAUGAUACGCGAGGAACCUUACCCGGGCUCGAACGGUGCAGGAAUAUGGUAGAGAUAUCAUAGCUAGCAAUAGUCUGUAUCGAGGUGCUGCAUGGUUGUCGUCAGCUCGUGCCGUGAGGUGUCGGCUUAAGUGCCAUAACGAGCGCAACCCUUGUCGUUAGUUACCAUCAAGUAAAGUUGGGGACUCUAGCGAGACUGCCACCGUAAGGUGUGAGGAAGGGGGGGAUGACGUCAAAUCAGCACGGCCCUUACGUCCGGGGCGACACACGUGUUACAAUGGUAGGUACAGAGGGGCGCUAUCCAGUGAUGGAGUGCGAAUCUCAAAAACCUAUCUCAGUUCGGAUUGGAGUCUGCAACUCGACUCCAUGAAGUUGGAUUCGCUAGUAAUCGCGCAUCAGCCAUGGCGCGGUGAAUACGUUCCCGGGCCUUGUACACACCGCCCGUCAAGCCAUGGAAGCCGGGGGUGCCUGAAGUUCGUGACCGCAAGGAGCGACCUAGGGCAAAACUGGUAACUGGGGCU